GACGAACGCUGGCGGCGUGCUUAACACAUGCAAGUCGAACGGAAAGGCCCUGCUUUUGUGGGGUGCUCGAGUGGCGAACGGGUGAGUAACACGUGAGUAACCUGCCCUUGACUUUGGGAUAACUUCAGGAAACUGGGGCUAAUACCGGAUAGUACCUCCUGCUGCAUGGUGGGGGUUGGAAAGUUUCGGCGGUUGGGGAUGGACUCGCGGCUUAUCAGCUUGUUUGUGGGGUAUUGGCUUACCAAGGCUUUGCCGGCUAGCCGGCAUGAGAGGGUGACCGGCCACAUUGGGACUGAGGUACGGCCCAGACUCCUACGGGAGGCAGCGGUGGGGAAUAUUGCACAAUGGGCGGAAGCCUGAUGCAGCAGCGCCGCGUGCGGGAUGACGGCCUUCGGGUUGUGAACCGCUUUCGCCUGUGACGAAGCGUGAGUGACGGUAAUGGGUAAAGAAGCACCGGCUAACUACGUG
rnacentral:rRNA from 1 species